GGAGAGGUGGCUGAGUGGUCGAAAGCGGCACACUGCUAACGUGUUAGGGGAGUAAAAUCCCCUCGUGGGUUCGAAUCCCACCCUCUCCG
rnacentral:tRNA from 1 species